rnacentral:rRNA from 1 species
CCUACGGGGUGCAGCAGUAGGGAAUCUUUCACAAUGGGCGAAAGCCUGAUGGAGCAACGCCGCGUGCAGGAUGAAGGCCUUCGGGUUGUAAACUGCUUUUAUAAGCGAGAAAUAUGAUGGUAACUUAUGAAUAAGGAUCGGCUAACUACGUGCCAGCAGCCGCGGUCAUACGUAGGAUCCGAGCAUUAUCCGGAGUGACUGGGUGUAAAGAGUUGCGUAGGUGGCAUAAUAAGUAGCUAGUGAAAUCUGGUGGCUCAACCAUUCAGACUAUUAGCUAAACUGUUAAGCUCGAGACCGUUAGGGGUAACUGGAAUUUCUAGUGUAGGAGUGAAAUCCGUAGAUAUUAGAAGGAACACCAAUAGCGUAGGCAGGUUGCUGGGACGGGUCUGACACUAAGGCACGAAAGCGUAGGGAGCAAACGGGAUUAGAUACCCCAGUAGUC